rnacentral:Y_RNA from 1 species
GGCUGGUCUGAGUACAGUGGUAUUUACAACUAAUUGGUCACAACGUUACAGAUUUCUUUGUUCCUUCUUCAUGCCUACUACUUCACUUAGCCUUAA